AUGAUCCUACCAAUUCUCCUCUCUACUUCUUGCAUUAUAAAUGGUAUUAUUAUUAUUUGAGUAGAAAGCAAGGUUACAACUUACCUAUAGUUAGAUUCUGAAAUUGCUGUGUAGCAUAAAAAUCAUGGAUCCUCUAAACUAAAUGGGAAAAUUCCUUAAAAUGCCUGUAAGAUAUAGUAGAGUCAUAUUAUGCAUUUGUAGAUAGAAAGGAGCUAAGUUAAAGUCUCUUUAAAUGGAGGUAGGCUGUAUCAGAGGGCAGAUGGACUUAGAAUGGUUGCUAUAGAUACAGUGGAAUAUAAAUUUUAUGUUUUACUACACUCAGAAAGAAACAAUGAAUUAGGGGAGAGGUGAAAACAGGAUUGCUACUCAAAUAGGAAAACAAUAAAGAGGACCUGCAGAUCUAGCUCAUCAGGGAGCAGUGACUUGAAUUUCCCAAGAACAGCACCUUACUUUCCUGUGUCACUUGGACAUCAGCCCUCUGUUACUAUGUCCUGUAAUUUCCAAUGCAAGAAAUGCUUGAAAGACCAACUAAGCCUGCUUCUCUCAUCAGCUCUAAUAGCCGAAGGAAAAUGAAGAGAUUACAUGAACAAAAGAUCCGGAAGAGAUUUUGAAUCUCACUGUCUGCGAGAUGGUCACAUUUUGAGAAGCACUAUGGAAACUGAGGCUGAUUAAGAAAAUAUUAAAUCCAUCUUACACUACUCUCAUUGAGAGGGAAUGGAAA